CGGGAUGUAGCGCAGCCCGGUAGCGCGCUUCGUUCGGGACGAAGAGGCCGGCAGUUCAAAUCUGCCCAUCCCGA
rnacentral:tRNA from 2 species